rnacentral:rRNA from 1 species
GCAAGUCGAACGCGAAAGGGGAGCAAUCCCUGAGUAGAGUGGCAAACGGGUGAGUAACACGUGGGUGACCCGCCUUCGAGUGGGGGAUAACCUUCCGAAAGGAGGGCUAAUACCGCAUGACAUACCGUGUUUCGAUACACGGAUAUCAAAGCUGGGGAUCGCAAGACCUCGGCGCUUGAAGAGGGGCCCGCGUCCGAUUAGCUAGUUGGUGAGGUAACGGCUCACCAAGGCUCCGAUCGGUAUCCGGCCUGAGAGGGCGGACGGACACACUGGAACUGAGACACGGUCCAGACUCCUACGGGAGGCAGCAGUGGGGAAUUGUUCGCAAUGGGCGAAAGCCUGACGACGCAACGCCGCGUGGAGGAUGAAGAAUUUCGGUUCGUAAACUCCUUUCGACCGAGAUGAAAACCCCGCGAUCUAAUAAGUCGUGGGACUGACAGUAUCGAGAGAAGAAGCCCCGGCUAACUCUGUGCCAGCAGCCGCGGUAAUACAGGGGGGGCAAGCGUUGUUCGGAAUUACUGGGCGUAAAGGGUUCGUAGGUUGCCAACUAAGUCAGACGUGAAAUCCCUCAGCUUAACUGGGGAACUGCGUCUGAAACUGGAUGGCUUGAGUGCAGGAGAGGAAUGCGGAAUUCCAGGUGUGGCGGUGAAAUGCGUAGAUAUCUGGAGGAACACCGGUGGCGAAGGCGGCAUUCUGGACUGUAACUGACACUGAGGAA